rnacentral:rRNA from 1 species
CCUAUGGGGCCCAGCAGGCGCGAAAACUUUACAAUGUGGGAAACCGUGAUAAGGGAACACCGAGUGCCAGCAUCAUAUGCUGGCUGUCCAGAUGUGUAAAGUACAUCUGUUAGCAAGGGCCGGGCAAGACCGGUGCCAGCCGCCGCGGUAAAAU